UGGUCUCAAACUCCUGGGCUCAACUUAACCUCCCCUGCAAGCCUCCCAGUGCCCAAUGUGCUGGGAUUACUGGCCUGGGUCACUGAGCCCAGCUUAUUUAGUAAUGCAUGUCUUUUUUUUUUUUUUGAGACGGAGUCUCGCUGUGUCGCCCAGGCUGGAGUGCAGUGAUGAGAUCUCAGCUCACUGCAAGCUCCACCUCCCGGGUUCACGCCAUUCUCCUGCCUCAGCCUCCUGAGUAGCUGGGACUAGAGGCACCUGCCACCACGCCUGGCUAAUUUUUGUAUUUUUAGUAGAGAUGGGGUUUCACCAUG
rnacentral:lncRNA from 1 species